UACGUAGGGGGCGAGCGUUGUCCGGAAUUAUUGGGCGUAAAGAGCUCGUAGGCGGUUUGUUGCGUCGGCCGUGAAAACCUGCAGCUUAACUGUGGGCCUGCGGCCGAUACGGGCAGACUUGAGUUCGGUAGGGGAGACUGGAAUUCCUGGUGUAGAGGUGAAAUGCGCAGAUAUCAGGAGGAACACCGGUGGCGAAGGCGGGUCUCUGGGCCGAUACUGACGCUGAGGAGCGAAAGCGUGGGGAGCGAACAGG
rnacentral:rRNA from 1 species